AAAGACUAACCAUGGUUUUAAGUUUUGGUGGAUUUGGACUAAAAUUAAUUCUUUUGUCACACUAAAGAAUUUAAUUACAUUGAUCCUCUCUGCUGAAUUUGGACUUACAGUGUUGGUGGUUGCCGGAUGGCGUUAGCCUGUAGCCAGCUCCGAGAUGCAAGUGAUGUAAAUGACCAUGAAGAGUGCAUUAUUGUUCUUGACCUUGUUAACCAAGAGUUUCUCGUCUUGCGGGAGAAUCUGAAUCACAUUGUUCAGAUGGAACGCGCAAUCCAUGAAAAUGAGAUCAAAAGGCGCAAUACGUAGAGAGAGCUGGUUUGUUCACUUUGUUAGGAGAACUUCUCCAGAAGCUCAUUGGUUUCUUUAUUAUGUUGUUGGCUAUGGAAUAAAAGUUCAUUACUGAACUUACUAUCUAUUAUUACAGACACAUAUAAUUUAUGGAAAAAUUAAGGUCCAUGGGUGAAAUGCUUGUUUC